GGUAAAAUGUCAUAAUGCAAAGUCAACAAGAUAAGCGGCUAGAGCUUAUAUCCUCCAUGAUAUCUGCCCAGUAUCCCUGGGAACAGUUGAAACCCUUCUUCCUUGAAGUUGUUGCUGUACUUUGAACAUUGCUCUGGCAGGAAAAUUACUGUAAGGGGUUUAUUUGCCUAUCUUGCCUGCUAGCUUGUAAAUUUAGUGCAUCUCCAUUUCCAGGUGCCAAGUCCACCGCCUAACCCUGUUAGUGCUCAGUGGAUGUUGGAUGGAUGGAGGGAUUUUAAAAAUUGUGAAUACCGGGCAUUUAAUAAAUGUUUUCUGAAUUGC
rnacentral:lncRNA from 1 species